rnacentral:lncRNA from 13 species
AAAAUGGAAAAACAAUGUAACGAGACUGAUACUACUUCUGUUCAAGUAUCAAAUGAAUAUUCUGCAAAGAUUCGUUAUUGAAGAGAGAUAUUCAAUCCCUUUUCUAUUUUCCAAAACAGAAUGUUAUACAAUUGAGAAAAUGAAAUUGCAGUGUAGCAAAGCAUCACAAGUUAUUCAAGAUCUGAGAGUUGAACAUGACUUAGGCCUGCAGCAGUUAUGUAAGAUGUUCAGUGAGAUUGCCAAAAUGGAGAAGGCAUUGCGCAAGUUAUAGUCUAUUGCUACUAAAUGUAAUUCCAAGAAGUGUACAACAAGGAAAUAGACCUAAACACUUGUGUUCAUUGUGUCAUAUUAUUUGUAAUAUUUUUCUGAUUACGAGUUUUAUAAUCAUUCGUUAUAUUUGUUAUACCUCAUACUGUCUUUAAAAUAAAUGGCAAUCAUACA